AUUGAACGCUGGCGGCAUGCCUUACACAUGCAAGUCGAACGGUAACAGGUCUUCGGAUGCUGACGAGUGGCGAACGGGUGAGUAAUACAUCGGAACGUGCCUAGUAGUGGGGGAUAACUACUCGAAAGAGUGGACAAUACCGCAUGAGAUCUACGGAAGAAAGCACGGGAUCGCAAGACCUUGUGCUACUAGGGCGGACGAUGGCAGAUUAGGUAGUUGGUGGGAUAAAAGCUUACCAAGCCGACGAUCUGUAGCUGGUCUGAGAGGACGAUCAGCCACACUGGGACUGAGACACGGCCCAGACUCCUACGGGAGGCAGCAGUGGGGAAUUUUGGACAAUGGGCGAAAGCCUGAUCCAGCAAUGCCGCGUGCAGGAUGAAGGCCUUCGGGUUGUAAACUGCUUUUGUACGGAACGAAAAGCCCCGGGUUAAUACCCUGGGGUCAUGACGGUACCGUAAGAAUAAGCACCGGCUAACUACGUGCCAGCCGCCGCAGUAA
rnacentral:rRNA from 1 species